CAAGACCUUGCGCUUUUUGAGCGGCCGAUGCCUGGUUAGCUAGUUGGUAAGGUAAUGGCUUACCAAGGCAACGAUCAGUAGCUGGUCUGAGAGGACGACCAGCCACACUGGGACUGAGACACGGCCCAGACUCCUACGGGAGGCAGCAGUGGGGAAUUUUGGACAAUGGGCGAAAGCCUGAUCCAGCCAUGCCGCGUGAGUGAAGAAGGCCUUCGGGUUGUAAAGCUCUUUCAGUUGGGUAGAAACGAUUGCAACUAAUAAUUGUAAUUAAUGACGGUACCGACAGAAGAAGCACCGGCUAACUACGUGCCAGCAGCCGCGGUAAUACGUAGGGUGCGAGCGUUAAUCGGAAUUACUGGGCGUAAAGGGUGCGCAGGCGGUUUUGUAAGUCAGAUGUGAAAUCCCCGGGCUUAACCUGGGAAUG
rnacentral:rRNA from 1 species